rnacentral:rRNA from 1 species
ACUACGGGAGGCAGCAGUAGGGAAUGUUCGUCAAUGGGGGGAACCCUGAACGAGCAAUGCCGCGUGAGUGAAGAAGGUCUUCGGAUCGUAAAGCUCUGUUGUAAGAGAAAAACGGGUAUCAUAGGGAAUGAUGAUAUCGUGAUGGUAUCUUACCAGAAAGCCACGGCUAACUACGUGCCAGCAGCCGCGGUAAUACGUAUGUGGCAAGCGUUAUCCGGAAUGAUUGGGCGUAAAGGGUGCGUAGGCGGCACAAUAAGUCUGAAGUAACAGGGGUUGGCGCAACCAACGUACGCUUUGGAACCUGUUACUCUAGCGUGCAGGAGAGGUUAGUGUCAUUCCAUGUGUAGCGGUCACAUGCGUAGAUAUAUGGAGGAACACCAGUGGCGCCGGCGGCUCACUGGCCUGUAACGGACGCUGAGGCACGAACGCGUGGGGAGCAAAUAGGAUUAGAUACCCCUGUAGUC